rnacentral:lncRNA from 10 species
GAUAUUUAUACCAUGUUCGAGAGUUAAUCAAGGUAAAUGUGUAAAGGAGUUGUAAUUCAAGAAAAGAGUGGGAAGAAUUUUCCAGACUAAGGUCAUGAAUACAGUCUUAAACAUUCUACUUACCCCUUUUCGUUGCAGCUUCCUCUUGCUGGACCUAAAAUUUACUCAUUUUCUCAGGGUACUUGUAAGAAAUAUCUUCCCUCCUCCUUCUUCUCCUCUUCCCUCACCUUCUCCCUUUACUCUUUCUGAGCUUUAUCUUCCUUCUCUUCCUCAUCUGCUCUUUUCCCUUUGUCUCCUCUUCUUCCUCUUUCUUCUUCCUCUUCUGCUGCUUCUUUCUCAUGUUUUUUUCUCCUGUUUCUCACCUUCUUCCUCUCCCUUUUUCUCUGUUUUCUCCUCCUCCUUUCCGUCUAAUCCUUAAUGUUCUUUGUUCUUAGGACUGACAUUAAGAAAUAUCCAGAGGAAUGUCAUUAAUUAUUAUUUUAUCAACACCUUCAACUGGAUUUGGAUUAAGAAGUCUGACUACCAUCAACUAAACUGGCCUCAAUUUCUCCUCCUGCUGAGUCUGAGGACCAACAAAAAGCACUAGAGACUACAAGAACACAAAUAGGAAUGGAAGGUGAAUCAGAGUUCCUGUUGCUCCAGAUUCUCAAGAACAUAUGAUGUCAUCAGUGUUUUAGGUUUUGGUCAUUACAACAGUGGCACCUAGAAAGCCAGCGAGACAGAACCGUUCACUCUUCCGGAAAGGGGGCUGAAACCAGGGAGCCGAGUGGUAUUGCUCAGCGGAUCUCACUCCCAUGAAGCCCAACAAGCUAAGAUCCACUGGCUUGAAACUCUCACUGCCAGCACAGCAGUCUGAAGUCAACCUGAUCCAAGGCUGAAUUCUGCAGUUUUUGGCUUCAUUCCAACUUGAAUUUAUAUAGAAUAUUUUCAAUCUGUGGUUGGUUGAAUCCACAGAUGCAAAACCCACAGACGUGAGGGCUGAUUCUACGUGCAAACUGGCCACAAAAGUCCUGGCUGUCUUCAAAGCUGCAUCCUAACGAGGGCAGAGUACCUGGUACAAUGAAUCUGAUUGUAAUUUACAAGAAAAUCACCUCUACUGCCUACAAUAUGUUACCUCAUUUGUUUCCCAGUUCCUAAUUUGUACCCUUAGAUUCUUAGACCAUAAAGUAUUUCCUGAAGGAAUAGAGGGCUCCAAGUGGGAUGAUUUGAGUAGUUCAUUUUGGUGGCUUUUGUUAUGGAAAUAUGUGAGGAUGGUUGAACUUUAGUACUGAUUUUUCAUUCACAUGACAAGAAUGCCUACAUAAAUCAUGUUGCUCUCCCAUUUAAGUAAUUACUAGGUUUGAAGCCAGUUAAAACAAAUGAUAGAAGAUAUUUUAGGUUAAACAACAUGGUUUUGCUUUCAUUGACAUCAACCAUAAUAGGCCUAAAAAUAUAAGUGCAGAAAAGCAUGUUAGUAUCUUUUAUUUCUUUCAAGUAUAUUCAUUUAGUUGACUUUUUCAAAUAUAUUUUAGCUUAUUUUGCCUUCUGAUAAGAAUAGGACAAUUGAAGAAAAGGUUUUCUCACUUCCUUAACAUUAUGAAAGAAUUUUAUUUUGGAAUUGCCUGAGAGGUAAAUGGAAAAUAUGCUCAGUUGGCCCAAAUUCUUUAUUAAACAACAUUAUAAGUGAAAAUCUGUUUUCCCUGCUAUUAUCUGAGUGCUAUGCUUAAAGAAACAAAUAAACAUCCUGACAGUUGACAGACAGGAAAUAUGUUUUGUUUCCUUUUUUAUUCCGGCUUCAUUAUUUUCCAUGGAGAUGGAUUCUUGAAGCGACAGGCUGUGUUCAUUUCAGUUCAACUGUUCAUUGACUUAUGCAACAUAUCAAAUUCCUUACCAAAGUGAAAAAAAAAAAAAGCAGAAUGAAAUUUAGCUAUGAUUCAACCAGAGAAAUUUACAUGUUGGGCAAGGAUUCUUGUUAUUUAAAGAUAAAGGCAUUUUUGAAAGUCCACUGAAAAAUGGCUAAAAUUUUUCUAAUUCUGGUUUGGUGAUAUAUCCUAUUAAUCUGCCACCACUUAUUAAUGGCACUCAUAAUUUAAAGCCCUCUAACACUGGCACCUCACAUCUCAUUAAGGUAUCUCCUCCCAUUCUUCCUGCAAACAUGACAUUUAGGAGACCAUUAUAUGACUU